rnacentral:rRNA from 1 species
UACAGACGGUCCAAACGUUAUUCGGAAUCACUGGGCUUAAAGAGUUCGUAGGCGGUCAGGAAAGUGGGGUGUGAAAGCCCUCGGCUUAACCGAGGAAUUGCGCUCCAAACUCCCUGACUUGAGGAGGCUAGAGGUAAGCGGAACUGAUGGUGGAGCGGUGAAAUGCGUUGAUAUCAUCAGGAACACCGGAGGCGAAGGCGGCUUACUGGGGCCUUUCUGACGCUGAGGAACGGAAAGCUAGGGGAGCGAACGGG